GACGAACGCUGGCGGCAGGCCUAACACAUGCAAGUCGACCGCUGUAGCAAUACAGCGUGGCAGGCGGGUGAGUAACGCGUGGGAACGUGCCUUUCGGGUCGGACUCCCUCAGCGAAACUUGAGCUAAUACCGGAUAGGCCGUUGGGGGGAAAGAUUUAUUGUCGAAAGAUCGGCCCGCGUCCGAUUAGCUAGUUGGGGUGGGAAUGGCGCACCAAGGCGACGAUCGGUAGCUGGUCUGGGAGGAUGAUCAGCCACACUGGGACUGAGACACGGCCCAGACUCCUAAGGGAGGCAGCAGUGGGGAAUAUUGGACAAUGGGCGCAAGCCUGAUCCAGCCAUGCCGCGUGAGUGAUGAAGGCCCUAGGGUUGUAAGCUCUUUCGCCAGGGACGAUAAUGACGGUACCUGGAUAAGAAGCCCCGGCUAACUUCGUGCCAGCCGCCGCCGUAA
rnacentral:rRNA from 1 species